rnacentral:rRNA from 1 species
UACGUAGGGUGCGAGCGUUGUCCGGAAUUAUUGGGCGUAAAGAGCUCGUAGGCGGUCUGUCGCGUCGAUCGUGAAAACCUUGGGGCUUAACCCUGAGCUUGCGGUCGAUACGGGCAUGACUGGAGUUCGGCAGGGGAGACUGGAAUUCCUGGUGGUAGCGGUGAAAUGCGCAGAUAUCAGGAGGAACACCGGUGGCGAAGGCGGCGACCUGGGACAAUACUGACGCUGAGGUGCGAAAGCGUGGGGAGCAAACAGG